UGCAAGUCGAGCGAACAGAAGGGAGCUUGCUCCCGGAUGUUAGCGGCGGACGGGUGAGUAACACGUGGGUAACCUGCCUGUAAGACUGGGAUAACUCCGGGAAACCGGAGCUAAUACCGGAUAGUUCCUUGAACCGCAUGGUUCAAGGAUGAAAGACGGUUUCGGCUGUCACUUACAGAUGGACCCGCGGCGCAUUAGCUAGUUGGUGGGGUAAUGGCUCACCAAGGCGACGAUGCGUAGCCGACCUGAGAGGGUGAUCGGCCACACUGGGACUGAGACACGGCCCAGACUCCUACGGGAGGCAGCAGUAGGGAAUCUUCCGCAAUGGACGAAAGUCUGACGGAGCAACGCCGCGUGAGUGAUGAAGGUUUUCGGAUCGUAAAGCUCUGUUGUUAGGGAAGAACAAGUGCGAGAGUAACUGCUCGCACCUUGACGGUACCUAACCAGAAAGCCACGGCUAACUACGUGCCAGCAGCCGCGGUAAUACGUAGGUGGCAAGCGUUGUCCGGAAUUAUUGGGCGUAAAGGGCUCGCAGGCGGUUUCUUAAGUCUGAUGUGAAAGCCCCCGGCUCAACCGGGGAGGGUCAUUGGAAACUGGGAAACUUGAGUGCAGAAGAGGAGAGUGGAAUUCCACGUGUAGCGGUGAAAUGCGUAGAGAUGUGGAGGAACACCAGUGGCGAAGGCGACUCUCUGGUCUGUAACUGACGCUGAGGAGCGAAAGCGUGGGGAGCGAACAGGAUUAGAUACCCUGGUAGUCCACGCCGUAAACGAUGAGUGCUAAGUGUUAGGGGGUUUCCGCCCCUUAGUGCUGCAGCUAACGCAUUAAGCACUCCGCCUGGGGAGUACGGUCGCAAGACUGAAACUCAAAGGAAUUGACGGGGGCCCGCACAAGCGGUGGAGCAUGUGGUUUAAUUCGAAGCAACGCGAAGAACCUUACCAGGUCUUGACAUCCUCUGACAACCCUAGAGAUAGGGCUUUCCCUUCGGGGACAGAGUGACAGGUGGUGCAUGGUUGUCGUCAGCUCGUGUCGUGAGAUGUUGGGUUAAGUCCCGCAACGAGCGCAACCCUUGAUCUUAGUUGCCAGCAUUUAGUUGGGCACUCUAAGGUGACUGCCGGUGACAAACCGGAGGAAGGUGGGGAUGACGUCAAAUCAUCAUGCCCCUUAUGACCUGGGCUACACACGUGCUACAAUGGACAGAACAAAGGGCUGCGAGACCGCAAGGUUUAGCCAAUCCCAUAAAUCUGUUCUCAGUUCGGAUCGCAGUCUGCAACUCGACUGCGUGAAGCUGGAAUCGCUAGUAAUCGCGGAUCAG
rnacentral:rRNA from 1 species